UUUGAUACUUGUUGUUUUCAUCUACUGGUUUAGAAAGAAGAAGAGGACUUCAGUUCAGGUUCCCACAACUGAAGCUAAAGACAAUACGGCACAGUUAAACAAUGGCCACAAUGAGCCUUACUACAGCGAGAUCCAGUUCACCAAGAACCAGACAGAUAACAUCCAGCCAUGUCAGCUCAAGGGAGAGGAGCAAGCCACUUAUACUGUUGUCAGCUUUAGACCCAACACAAACCCUGAGUGAGCUUAUUUUAGCACAACAACUUAAGAGACCCAGGAAAGGACUGAGCUUUGCAGAUGAAAGCAACAUGCAUUGAUACAUCUGUCAGUGUAGGAGACAGCUUUUUGAAUGUAUUUUACGCUUCUUUUGCUAAACAGAAUUAAACUGAUUUAUGAAACGUCACACAGCAAAAA